CCUACGGGAGGCUGCAGUGGGGAAUAUUCCACAAUGGGGGAAACCCUGAUGCAGCGACGCCGCGUGAGUGAAGAAGUAAUUCGUUAUGUAAAGCUCUAUCAGCAGGGAAGAAAAUGACGGUACCUGAGUAAGAAGCCCCGGGUAACUACGUGCCAGCAGCCGCGGUAAUACGUAGGGGGCAAGCGUUCUCCGGAUUUAAUGGGUGGAACGGGAGCGGGGACGGCCGUGCAAGUCUGGAGUGAAAGGCGGGGGCUCAACCCCCGGACUGCUCUGGAAACUGGACGGCUGGAGUGCAGGAGAGGUAAGUGGAAUUCCAAGUGUAGCGGUGAAAUGCGUAGAUAUUAGGAGGAACACCAGUGGCGAAGGCGGCUUACUGGACUGUAACUGACGUUGAGGCUCGAAAGCGUGGGGAGCAAACAGGAUUAGAUACCCGGGUAGUC
rnacentral:rRNA from 1 species